GACGAACGCUGGCGGCGUGCUUAACACAUGCAAGUCGAACGGUAAGGCUCCAGCUUGCUGGGGUACACGAGUGGCGAACGGGUGAGUAACACGUGGGUGACCUGCCCUGCACUUCGGGAUAAGCCUGGGAAACUGGGUCUAAUACCGGAUAGGACCAUGGUGUGGAUACUGUGGUGGAAAGUUUUUUCGGUGUGGGAUGGGCCCGCGGCCUAUCAGCUUGUUGGUGGGGUAAUGGCCUACCAAGGCGGCGACGGGUAGCCGGCCUGAGAGGGUGGACGGCCACAUUGGGACUGAGACACGGCCCAGACUCCUACGGGAGGCAGCAGUGGGGAAUAUUGCACAAUGGGCGGAAGGCUGAUGCAGCGACGCCGCGUGGGGGAUGACGGCCUUCGGGUUGUAAACUCCUUUCACCAUCGACGAAGGGUUUCUGACGGUAGAUGGAGAAGAAGCAACGGCUAACUACGUG
rnacentral:rRNA from 1 species